rnacentral:rRNA from 1 species
ACACGACUACAUUAGAUACCCGUGUAGUCCUAGCCGUAAACGAUACUCGCUAGGUGUCGGCCACGGUGCGACCGUUGUCGGUGCCGUAGGGAAGCCGUGAAGCGAGCCACCUGGGAAGUACGGCCGCAAGGCUGAAACUUAAAGGAAUUGGCGGGGGAGCACCACAACGGGUGGAGCUUGCGGUUUAAUUGGAUUCAACGCCGGAAAUCUUACCGGGACCGACAGCAACAUGAAGGCCAGGCUGAAGACUUUGCAGGAUUAGCUG